ensembl:lncRNA
AGGAAAACAAGGCUUGGACUUAAAGAUUCACAGAACAGUCACUGAUAUUGGUUCAAGAAGGCUUGGUGCACAGUCAGCAUUCCAGUGGGGUUGAAGUCAGGGGCACUGUCAUGCUGGAACAGAUUUUGUAUAAGCACCUUAGUUCUAGUGAAGAAAUUGUAAUGCUACAUACAAAGACAUGCUAGACAAUAGAGUGGGCAAGGCCCACACAUGGAUGUGAUAUUCGAGUGUCCACAUUCUUUGGUCAUAGUCGUGUACUGCACUAUAGCGCUUUUAUCCAAAGUGCUUUACACUGUGUCUCAUUCACACACACACUCACACACCAAUGGUAGCAGAGCUGCCAUGCAAGGCAGCUAACUUGCCAUUGGGAGCAACUUGGGGGUUCAGUGUCUUGCCCAAGGACACUCCGGUAUGUGCACGUCCACAGGGAUUUGCCACUGGGGCAGAUAAGCAGACCUCUCUUUGUAUCUCAGCUACAAACUAAAUAUUGACUUGUUUGCCUCAUUACAUAACACUGUGUUAGGUAAUGGCUAGGUAAUCCUAGCAUUGUUAUAGGCUGUUAUCCAGCUAUCUAGCUCCCUUUCUCAGGUGUAAUACAACGACUCAGCUCUGUGCUUGGACUGCAUUCUCCCUCAUAAACACGUCUGCCUAAUGAAUAAAUGCAAAUGUACUUUUGUGCCGUAAAGUUGCUCUGACCUUCAAGGCCAGAAUUUCCUAUUCAUCCACUGACCACAUUUUAAGAGCUUGUUAAUGGAGGCAUUGACUUCUUUGCAUCCUUUACAGCUUCCAGUAACAUUAAACAAAGCUGAAGCCUCUUAAACGUCCACUGAGACUUAAAUUCUAUAAGGUCACACCAUGUAUCUAUUCAGAGAGUGCACAGGUUACAGAGAGAUAAACCUUUCUCUUUUCUCCAGGUUUUUGUAUAUUGUUGUCUUUUCCCUUCCACAUAGUGCGAUAUAGUUGUUUAUUUUUUGGUUGCUGAUAUGAAGCAGUGUGUUCUUUAUCUUUCCUGAUUUGCUGUGUCUAAGACAGAAGGACACACAGUAGGGUAUUGCAGUCAAGGUGCAAAGGUCAGAUCCAUACAUGAUUAGAUUACAAAAAUAUGGGAAGGACUUUGGGAGAUAGUUAAAAAGCUAAAAGUUAUUCGAUUUGCGUGACCUCUAAUUUGAUGCCUGUAAAAUGUGUAUGAAGGGAAGCGGAAAAAUGAACACAGCUAAUUUCAACUUUCACUGUCUGCUGAAUCGCUUCCUGUUUGCACAUGAAUAAGCACAAGUUGCCAUGGGGAUGGGAAUGUGUGGUGCCGGGCAUGUGCUGUGUCCACUGAUCUCGGGUUAUUGAUAAUCUCACCCCCAACACCGACAACGUAUUUCGUAACAAAGGCAACCUCAUAUACCAGAUUUAAGUGAAUCUCUUCUGCUUUACAUUGAUACAAUAGUGAUUACAAUACGUGGAUAAUACAAUAAUGGAUUUUCAGUUUAAUAAUAAUAAUAAUAAUAAUAAUAAUAAUAAUAAUAAUAAUAAUAAUAAUUUUUAUUUACACAGCCCCUUUUCACAAGCUCAAGGACACUUUGCACUCCAUAUAUGUUUAACAGCACAAAGUACAUUAUAACAUGAGGAGGCAUAGCACAGGCUCAGAGAAAAAAUGAGGCUGAUACUUUGGAGGUUGGUAGGAGGAGUUUCACCAACAGUCUUGACAGCUAGAUAAUCAAAAGACGUGACAUUAUGAAAUUCAGUCAAAACCGCUCUCAUGCCAUCUCGACAAACAACAGCUAGUCCGCUCCCUUUUCCGUGCAGCCGGGGUUUAGACAAAUAUUUGUAUCUGUGUGGAGUAAGCAAAUUUAGUUGUAAGAAGUCAUUAGGUGUUUGCCAGGUUUCAGUUAUCAGUAGCAUGUCCAGUUUUUUAUCGGUGAUGAGUUCAUUCAGAAUUGAUGCUUUGGUCGUUACUGAGUACUGAUCAGUAGUGUAAGUGUGCCUGCAUGUGUGUGUGUGUGUGUACGGACUUCACUCUUUCACACUGGCUUUGAGGAACACACACAGAAGCCAUGCCUCCUUUACUCAUCUGAAGGAAGAUCUUCACACACACACCUUCUAAUUUAAGCCCAAAUGAAUACUGUUUCAAUGUUCCUAUGUGUUCAAGGUUUUAAAACAGUUCCCCUCAAGGCCGCAUUUGUUAUUUUCCACUGUGUUUGUGUUGUGUUUAUGAGAGCAGAGGGCUGCACCGUGAGAGGCAUCACUUUCACACAGUCUGUAAAGGUCUGGC